rfam:Ciona savignyi cont_62691, whole genome shotgun sequence.
UCUCGGGCUUGGUUAGUACUUGGAUGGGUGACCGCUUGGGAAUACCAAGUGUGAUAAGCA